rnacentral:rRNA from 1 species
UACGGAGGGAGCUAGCGUUGUUCGGAAUGACUGGGCGUAAAGCGCACGUAGGCGGCUUGGUAAGUCGGAUGUGAAAUCCCCGGGCUCAACCCGGGAACUGCAUCCGAAACUGCUGAGCUUGAAUGCUUGAGGGGUUGGUGGAAUUCCGAGGUGUAGGAGUGAAAAUCCGUAGAUAUCUGGAGGAACAUCGGAGGCGAAGGCGGCCAACUGGCGAUGCAUUGACGCUAAGGUGCGAAAGCGUGGGGAGCAAACAGG